rnacentral:rRNA from 1 species
AGCGAACGCUGGCGGCAGGCUUAACACAUGCAAGUCGAGCGGAUGUAGCAAUACAUCAGCGGCAGACGGGAGAGUAACACGUGGGAACGCGCCCUUCGGUUCGGAAUAACUCAGGGAAACUUGAGCUAAUACCGGAUACGCCCUAACGGGGAAAGAUUUAUCGCCGAAGGAACGGCCCGCGUCCGAUUAGCUAGUUGGUGAGGUAAUGGCUCACCAAGGCGACGAUCGGUAGCUGGUCUGAAAGGAUGGCCAGCCUCACUGGGACUGAGACACGGCCCAGACUCCUACGGGAGGCAGCAGUGGGGAAUAUUGGACAAUGGGCGCAAGCCUGAUCCAGCCAUGCCGCGUGGAUGAUGAAGGCCUUAGGGUUGUAAAGUCCUUUUAACGGGGAAGAUAAUGACGGUACCCGUAGAAUAAGCCCCGGCUAACUUCGUGCCAGCCGCCGCGGUAA